ACAUUUUCCCUUAUCAGAAGAGAUAACUGAUAAUACACGACGAUAUUUGUGAUGUUUGAUACGUGUGUUUUCCAUUCGACACGGCACCGGUUUCGAUUAUUGCCAAAUUUGCAUAAUUCCCAAACACCACGAGAUUGAUUUAACGAUUUCAAUAUAAACUUAAGUAUAUUUUUUUUAUUAAAAAGAUGAACCAAUUUUACUCAUGGGACCUGUGGUUCCCCAUCGCGAUCAACAUAGUUUUAUCAGUUAUUUUCUAUUUUGUAACAUAUAGAAUAAUAAUAUCGGUCGGGCCGAUGUUCAUAAAGGCGAGACUUUUUGGAAGGGACUUGAACAAAAAGUCAGAUGCGCUUAUACCUGAAGCUCUAGGAGUUGUUUCAGGAUGUAUGUUCCUAAUAAUUAUGUCUCUCUUCAUUCCCUUCCCAUUCGGCAGGGUGAUUUUUCAAAAUUCACAUUUUCCCUAUGAUGAGUUUGUGAAACUGGUCGCUGCGUUGCUUUCUAUAUGCUGCAUGCUUCUACUAGGAUUUGCUGAUGAUGUCCUAGAUUUGCGAUGGAGACAUAAACUCCUUUUGCCUACAAUCGCAUCACUACCUUUGUUGAUGGUUUACUACGUAACGUUCAACUCGACGACGAUCAUCGUCCCCAAGCCGUUCAGGCAUUUGCUUGGGGUUUCCAUAAAUAUAGGUGUGUUGUAUUAUGUGUAUAUGGGGCUUUUAGCGGUUUUCUGUACAAACGCGAUAAACAUACUGGCGGGUGUGAACGGUCUUGAGGUUGGGCAAUCCCUUGUCAUCGCGGGCUCGAUCGGGGUUUUCAAUAUUUGUGAACUAGGAGGAAGCAUGUGGCGGACACACCAGUUUUCACUUUAUUUCAUUAUACCGUUCAUCGCUACAUCGCUUGCACUUUUCCGACACAAUUGGUACCCUUCGAAGGUUUUCGUCGGAGAUACAUUUUGCUAUUUUGCUGGGAUGACUUUCGCUGUUGUCGCAAUACUUGGACAUUUUAGCAAAACAGUUCUGCUAUUUUUCAUUCCUCAAAUUGCAAAUUUUAUCUAUUCGGUUCCUCAGCUGUUUCAUUUUGUACCCUGCCCUAGGCAUCGGAUUCCAAGGUUGAACAAGGCAAAUAUGCUGGAGCCGAGCAGGGUUGAGUUUGGAAAAGAUGAAGUGGACACACUCGGCCUUCUUAUAUUAAAAAUUUUCGACAAGUUGCACCUGGCGGAUGUCGAGUUCAAAGAAGCGACAAUAUCUGUAAACAAUUUGACCCUAAUUAAUUUUAUACUUAUUAAAGGAGGACCAAUACACGAAAUGCACCUAACUACAGUACUGCUAACGAUCCAAAACUUACGGAGAAUGUGUUUCCCAUGCGCCAAAUAGUUUUGAUCUAACUCCAGGAAAGCGGGAUACAACUAAGAUCUGUUAAAAACGGCAAGAUAUCAAAUAUUUUCUAGUGGACUGGCCUUCAUCAUCCGAUACCCAUUGGCAUCAUUUUUUUAUGAUGUGUAAAUAAAGACUUGCCAUGGUAU